AUGCUGUUGAUGGUGCACCCCUGAUGAGGGCACACGGUGUAUUGGGACAACACCGUGACCAGGAUGGCCUUCAUCAUCACCAUGGCGAUGUGUUUGCCCACACAUGAACGAGGGCCGCAACCGAAGGGCUGGAAAUAACGGGUUUUGCUUGAGCAGCAUGAGCAUGAAGAAGAGCGAGAUGGAGAGAGUGUCUGGAGCUGCAAUCACCAUCUCCAGCACACAUUGGCGGACGUUUUCUGGUGACAGUUCCCCAUGGUUCUAAUUGACAGAAAAGGAACAGCUUGUUGGAGAUGUCAACCACUAUGGCCCUGAGCAGAUUGAGGGUGUCUACGUGACCAGACGGACCAGUCACCUCAUGCAGGUUGUCCAGGAAUUUGGUUGUAGAGCUCACACAGAUAGACACUGUCCUUUGGAGCCCUGGGCCUGUCAGAGCUGGGACAGACAUACAGCAAAAAUUAUAGCUGUAUAGUUUUUUAUAUGCACACAGUCAACAAUUAUGAUCUUUGUUUUGUUUUUUUGUUUUGUUUUUUACUUAGAACUGUGUGUUGAAAUAAUUGUUUUCUUACCUUUAGAAAAAUAUGUUCUUGCUUUUUUCCAAAGAGCCACAUCACUAUUGAAAAUUAUGCCAUUUCCCGCCAUCCCAAUAGUCUCUAGUCCUUUUUUGCUCCCAAAUCUUGCUACAUAGUGAGGACUUCUCAAAAUAUGAUAAACUGCAGAUGACCUAUGUAAAAAAUGUACAUGGUUAUUUUCAGAAAUAUUCGGAAAGAACAGAAGGUUGACUUACUUGCUAAUAAUCAAAGUUUCCUCGCCAUUGAUCCACACCCGCACGAUGCUGCCGUAUUUCUUGUUAUAAUAGUUGCAUGCCGUACCAAUGCCAGUCCAAAUAAAGCGACUGUAGGAAAGAACUGGGCCAAGUCCUAAUAAGAAAUGAGGUCCUAUAUAUAAAAAAAUAAAGAUUAGCAUUGAUGCAGUAAUAUAAUACAUAUAACACAGUAUAUAGUCAUAGAUGGGAAGAAUACUUCAAAAAUGUAUUUAGUUACAGAAUACUAAAUACCCAAAUUAAAUGUAUUUUGCAAUGUAUUCUGAUACACGGUCCAAUCAGAGUACUUUUUUCUGAAAAAUUUUACAUCUAGUUGUGUUUAAAUUAUCAUGUAAAGAUGCAACAUAGUAUUAAUUACAGCUUUAUAUUUGUUUAACUGUUUUUAAAUAAUUUCCUAUCACUACAUGGAGAUGGAAAAAUCACACAUGC